UACGUAGGGGGCAAGCGUUGUCCGGAAUUAUUGGGCGUAAAGAGCGUGUAGGCGGUCCGAUAAGUCGGCUGUGAAAGUCCAGGGCUCAACUCUGGAAUGCCGGCCGAUACUGUCGGACUAGAGUCCGGAAGAGGCAAGUGGAAUUCCCGGUGUAGCGGUGAAAUGCGCAGAUAUCGGGAGGAACACCAAUGGCGAAGGCAGCUUGCUGGGAAGGCACUGACGCUGAGACGCGAAAGCGUGGGGAGCAAACAGG
rnacentral:rRNA from 1 species